rnacentral:misc_RNA from 1 species
ACAACCAGCACCUUCAAUGCUUAUUGAUGAAAUCAAAAACAUGUUGAGGUUGUUACAUGACUUGCUUCAGCUGCUAGAUACAAGUAAACAGAACAUGAUCUAUAAUAAUAAAGGUUUUUAUCUCCUUUUACUAUUCAUUUUCACAAGUUUCUUGGAGCUUUACCGCCAAUAUGCCAAUCUGAAUGUACUACAAAAGCCACGUUUGUAACAUGUCAUGCCAUCUAAUAUCCAUAAGCAAAAUCUGAAAUGAAGUAAUAGCAAUUAAAUUCUUAGAAUAAACAUCUAAACCUUAAUCUCAAACUAGAAGGGUCAACCAUAUAAAUCAUUUUUCACAAUUAG